GGUAACCUGCCCAAGAGAUCGGGAUAACACCUGGAAACAGAUGCUAAUACCGGAUAACAACAGAUGAUGCCUAUCAACUGUUUAAAAGAUGGUUCUGCUAUCACUCUUGGAUGGACCUGCGGUGCAUUAGCUAGUUGGUAGGGUAACGGCCUACCAAGGCGAUGAUGCAUAGCCGAGUUGAGAGACUGAUCGGCCACAUUGGGACUGAGACACGGCCCAAACUCCUACGGGAGGCAGCAGGG
rnacentral:rRNA from 1 species